GUUAGCUGUAAAAUCGUUUUCCCUUUCCCUCUGUUUACAGGGGCGAGCGGUGUAUGUGUGUGUAUGUGUGAAAACCUAAGGCAAGUAGCUUCACAAAUCACCUUUUUUGGCAGGUUUCGAAUACCUCUCAUCCUUUUUUCCUCCCUCAGGUGCCUCGGGGAAAGCAUUUUCUAUUUAAAUUGACGCUGACUUUCAGGUGUGCCUCUACACGCCCUGUUUGCUGCCUGCGCCUCUCAGCGCAAACUCUCAGAUCCCGCAGAAUUGAAUUUAAUCAUUUUCUGAUGAAAGAAUGCAAUUUCAACUGACUUUUUUUUUACACCUUGGGUUGCUCAGUUACACAGAAGCUCAAGAUGAAUGCAGCAGAGGUGCCUGUCGCCCCCCCACUGGCAAUCUCCUGGUUGGUCGCAGUGAACAGCUCACAGCUUCUUCUACCUGCGGGCUAGGCGGGGCCCAGAAAUACUGCAUCCUCAGCUACCUUGAGGGGGAACAAAAAUGCUUCAUCUGUGACUCCAGAUUUCCAUAUGAUGCACACACCCAACCCAACAGCCACGCCAUUGAGAAUGUAAUUACAAGCUUUGAACCAGACAGAGAAAAGAAGUGGUGGCAAUCUGAAAAUGGUCUUGAUCAUGUCAGCAUCAGACUGGACCUUGAGGCAUUAUUUCAGUUCAGUCACCUUAUUCUGACCUUUAAGACUUUUCGGCCUGCCGCAAUGUUUGUUGAACGCUCCACAGACUAUGGACACACCUGGAAAGUGUUCAAGUAUUUUGCCAAAGACUGUGCUACUUCCUUCCCCAACAUCACAUCUGGCCAGGCCCAGGGAGUGGGAGACCUUGUUUGUGACUCCAAAUACUCCGACAUUGAACCCUCCACUGGUGGUGAGGUUGUUUUAAAAGUUUUGGAUCCCAGCUUUGAAAUAGAAAACCCUUACAGCCCCUACAUCCAAGACCUUGUGACAUUAACAAACCUGAGGAUAAACUUUACCAAACUCCAUACCCUUGGGGAUACUUUGCUUGGAAGGAGGCAAAUUGAUUCCCUUGAUAAAUAUUACUAUGCCCUGUAUGAGAUGAUAGUUCGGGGAAGCUGUUUUUGCAACGGCCAUGCUAGUGAAUGUGGCCCAACACAGAAGGUGCGCGGAGACGUUUUCAGCCCUCCCGGAAUGGUUCAUGGUCAGUGCGUCUGUCAGCACAAUACAGAUGGCCUGAACUGUGAGAGGUGCAAGGACUUCUUCCAGGAUGCUCCUUGGAGGCCAGCUGCAGGCCUCCUGGACAGCGCCUGCCGAGCUUGUCACUGUAACGGCCACUCUGACCACUGUCACUUCGACAUGACCGCCUACCUAGCAAGUGGUGGCCGAAGCGGGGGCGUGUGUGACGGCUGCCGGCACAACACCGAGGGCCAGCACUGCGAUCGCUGCAGACCCCUUUUCUACAGGGACCCCCUUAAGGCCAUCUCGGAUCCUUACGCGUGCAUUCCUUGUGAAUGUGACCCUGAUGGGACCAUAUCAGGUGGCCUUUGUGUGAGCCACUCUGAUCCUGAUUUGGGGUCUGUGGCCGGCCAGUGCCUGUGUAAGGACAACGUGGAAGGAGCCAAGUGCGACCGAUGCAAGCCCAACCACUACGGACUGAGUGCCACCGACCCCCUGGGCUGUCAGCCCUGUGACUGUAACCGCCUUGGGAGUCUGCCACUCUUGACCUGUGAUGCGGAUACAGGCCAAUGCUUGUGUCAGUCGUUUGCUACUGGACCACACUGUGAAGAAUGCACUGUUGGAUACUGGGGACUGGAAAAUCACCACGGAUGUUCUUCCUGUGACUGUGAUAUUGGAGGUGCUUAUUCCAACAUGUGCUCACCCAAGGAUGGGCAGUGUGAUUGCCGCCCACAUGUCACAGGUCGCAGCUGCACUGAGCCAGAGCCCGGCUAUUUCUUUGCUCCUUUGAAUUUCUACCUCUGUGAGGCAGAGGAAGCCACACCACUCCAGGGACUGGCGCCUUUGAUAUUAGCAACAGCUCUGCCUACAUGUGAUGUGUAUUUCCAGCAACAAGGAGAUGAUUUUGUAAUUGACAAAGGAAAUAUAAUAAUGAAGAGAAAUCAGAAGCAAAGCAUACGAGCAGAUGAGCUGAAUGAGGGCUCGGUGGCUUCUGGGCAGCUGCCUGCUGUCUCUUUCGUUCUCCGAGAGCCAGUUCCUGGGAUGCCUGUUACAUGGACGGGACCUGGAUUUGCCAGGGUUCUCCCCGGGGCCGGCUUGAGAUUUGCUGUGGGGAACAUCCCUGCUCCCAUGGACUUCGCUAUUGCCAUUCGCUAUGAAACUCAGUCCACAGAUGACUGGACUGUCCAGAUGGUGGUUAACCCUGCUGGAGGGAGCGAGCACUGUACACGCGAGACCCCACAGCCAAAGCCUCAGCCAUUUGCUUUACCAGCGGCUUCCAGAAUCAUGCUGCUUCCCACACCCAUCUGUUUAGAACCAGAUGUACAGUAUUCCAUAGAUGUCUAUUUUUCCCAGCCUUUGGAAGGAGGAUUCCAAGCUCAUUCACACAUCCUGGUUGAUUCUCUUGUUCUUAUUCCCCAAAUCAAUUCAUUGGAGAAUUUCUGCAGCAAGCAGGAUUUAGAUGAAUAUCAGCUGCACAACUGUCUUGAAAUUGCCUCGGCAGCGGGACCUCAGGUUCUCCCUGGAGCUUGUGAAAGGCUUAUAGCCAGUUUGUCUGCCAGGCUGCACAAUGGGGCCAUGGCCUGCAAGUGUCACCCUCAGGGCUCGGUGGGACCCAACUGCAGCCGACUGGAAGGCCAGUGCCAGUGUAAGGCUGGUGUGACCGGCCGCUGCUGUGACGCGUGUAUAGCAGGAAGCUACGGUUUGGGGCAUCACGGCUGUCACUCAUGUCACUGCCACCCUCAAGGCUCGAAGAGCACUGUAUGUGACCAAGUAACAGGACAGUGCCCCUGCCAUGGAGAGGUAGCUGGCCGCCGUUGUGAUCAGUGCCUGGCGGGAUACUUCGGAUUUCCCAACUGCCACCCCUGCCUUUGUAAUGGGUUCGCUGAACUUUGUGAUCCAGAGACUGGGUCAUGCUUCAAUUGUGGAGGUUUUACAACUGGGAGAAACUGUGAAAGAUGCAUCGAUGGUUACUAUGGAAAUCCUUCUUCAGGACAGUCCUGCCGUCCUUGCCCGUGUCCAGAUGUUCCCUCAAGCAAUCAGUAUUUUGCCCAUUCCUGUUAUCAGAAUCCUUGGAGCUCAGACAUAAUCUGCAAUUGUCUUCAAGGUUAUGCAGGUGUGCAGUGUGGAGAAUGCUCUGCUGGUUUCUAUGGAAAUCCAAGAAUUUCCGGAGCACCCUGCCAGCCUUGUGCCUGCAGCAACAACAUUGAUGUGACUGACCCAGAGUCCUGCAGCCCGGUCACAGGGGAGUGCCUUAAAUGUCUGCACAACACCCAGGGGCCCAGCUGCCAGCUCUGCAAACCAGGUCACUUUGGGUCGGCCCUCAAUCAGACCUGUAAGAGGUGUUCCUGUCAUCCUUCCGGCGUGAGUCCCUCGGAGUGUCCCCCUGGUGGGGGAGCUUGCCUCUGUGACCCUGACACUGGCACAUGCCCUUGUCUGCCCAACGUCGCAGGCCGGGCCUGUGACCGUUGUGCUGACGGCUACUGGAAUCUGGUCCCCGGCAGAGGAUGUCAGCCGUGCGAUUGUGACCCCCGGACCUCACGCAAUAGGCACUGUGACCAGCUUACAGGCCAGUGUCCGUGUAGAUCAGGCUAUGAUGGGAAACGCUGCAGUGAGUGCGAGGAAAAUUAUUAUGGGGAUCCCCCGGAGCAAUGCAUUCCGUGUGACUGCAACAGGGAGGGUUCCCAGGAGCCCAUCUGUGACCAGGACACGGGCAUGUGUCGCUGCCGGGAGGGUGUUAGUGGCCCACGAUGUGAUCACUGCGCCCGGGGUCACGGCCAGGAAUUUCCUGCUUGUCUUCGGUGUCACUUGUGCUUUGAUCAAUGGGACCACACCAUUUCUUCCCUCUCCAAAGUGGCGCAAGGGUUAAUUAGGCUGGCUGCGAGCAUGGAAGAUAAAAGAGAGACCUUGCCUGUCUGUGAGGCUGACUUCAAAGGCCUCGGAGAGAACAUGUCUGAAAUAGAAAGGAUUUGGAGACAUCCUGUUUUCUCAUCUGGGGAAUUCUUAAAAGUCAAGGAUUAUCAUGACUCUGCUCGGAAACAAAUCAUGGCACUAAGUGAGCAGCUGAAAACAGCGUAUGAAUUUCAAGAUCUGAAAGAAACCAUAGAAAGAAAGAGGAAUAAAGCAAACCUCUUACUUGAAGAUCUUCAGGAAGAAAUUGCUUUGCACACCAGUGCCCGUAACGCAAGCAUCAUGGAUUCCUCAAAGAACAUCAAGAAGUAUUAUCAGAGCUCUUUAUCUGCUGAAAAGAACAUUAAUGAAGCUACUUCCAUUGUAAAUAACUCUGAAAAAAGCAGGAAUGACCUACUUAACAUCUUAGAUACACUAACCUCAAAAGAAAACUUGUCAUUGGAGAAAUUAAAGCAGGUCAAGAUACCAGAUGCUCAAAUAUUACAUGAAAAGGAGUGUGGAGAAGGAAGGGACAUGGCCUGCGUGCUCUCGUCCUGUAGUGGCCCAAGCUGUCGAGGUUCCCUGACCCUCUCGAGGAACACCCUCCAGAAAGCUCAGGAAGCAGAGUCCAUGAUUGACAAUUUGAACAACCAAGUUCAAGGGUUGAAAAAUCAGAGCAAAAAUAUAAGUAAACUGGCAGAAGGCUCCAAAAACAAUGCCUUACAGCUAAGUGAGAAACUGAGGAAUAUGAAAAAUCAAAGUGAAUCUGAAGAAGAAAAAAUGAAUCUUUUAAUCAAAAAACUGAAAAUGUUUUUGUUAGAUAAUAUCAUUUGGAUGCAACACUACAUGGAAUUGAUCUGAGGAGGCUUUCUUUCCCACAGCCAUCUUCCAGAUUCAAUAAUUUAAUAUUCUCCGCAUGAAUUAAUCAACAGUUGGGAUGUCAGUUACAAUCUUUGCAAUCACUUUAUUAAAUCUGUUUACUAUUUAUAAGAGAUCCCUGUGGCUAAGUUUUUUUCUCAGUGUUUCUAGAAAUUGUAUCAGUAGCUUUAGUCCUGAUUUUCAAAAUAAGAAAAAAAUAAGGUGUAAAAAUAAUCAGUAAAAAUGACCAAAGUAAUCAGUAAAAAUGAUUGGGUAUGGAAUCAGUCAACAGGACAUUUUGUUGGUUCAAAAGCAAAUUUUCAGUGAGCGAGCUAAACGGAUUGAUAUUGACUAGACACAGAUCCAGGAACCGUGUGAGGAACAUGGUAGCUCUUCCUGCAGAUCUAAGUCUAUUCAGGCACCAAAACUAAAACAAAAUCAGAGAACUGCCACAGCAGUCAUGUGAAAAUGAUUAAAAACAGUCCUCAGCUCCAGCAACGGUUCAAAAAGCAAGUUCUACCUGUUUUUCUCCUAGUUCACUGGGUCACAGAGCCUAUUCCUAUACUAGUCCUAGUUUUCAUUGCUACUCAAUAAGUUUCUAAUAAAAAUGUCACUUUAAUUAGCCUAAGGAAUUAGGAAAAAAGAACCAAAAAACUGUGUUCAGAUUAUUACAACAAAAAUUAGACUAGGCAUCAAGAAAAAUCCUAUUCCAUAAAGCGACCUUCCCUGGUCAGUGUCCUAAGACUCUCGGUCACCAGGAAGCAGUGCCCUUCACCCACCCAAAUCUUUGCUUUUCUUGGCUAUAAAGCCCAAACACAGUUAUCAUGACAUUUAUGGUAGCCACACUAUUCAGCUCUUUUUUGACCAUCUUAAUAUUUUCCUUGCAGUCUGAAUUCCUUAUUAACAGAGUUGUGUCACUUUUCCUGAAAGUGAAUUUAUAAUCACUUAAAUUUGAAUUUUUAAUCUCAUAAUAAAUGCCAAUAAAUGUUUCAUGACUGAAUACAAUGUUAAAUUCAAUUCAUUUUUUUAUUAGAACUUUUUUUUUUAACGAAAGUGUUGCUAUUUCUAUAAAGCGCCAACUCUGAUUCUGUUUAAAAUAUGAUUUUAAUUCAUGAAAAAUUCUUACACAUUUUUUUCAAAAACAUAGGAAGUAAAAUAUUCCUUUUGGGAAUUCCCUGGCAGUCCAAUGGUUAGGAUCCAGCUCUUUCACUGCCGGGGCCUGGGUUCAAUCUCUGGUGGGAGAACUAAGAUCCCACAAGCCGCACAGCCUGGCCAAAGAAAAAAAGUGAAAUAUUCCUUUUGUAUUAAACAAAAAUAGCCAAGGCAAAAAUGAUUGCAAAGAAAAUAUAUACUAGGGUCAUGUCACUCAAGUACUAAAAAACCAUCCACAGCUCUCACUGUCUCUUGAAUGAAGUCCGGUUUCCUUAGCCCCACAUUAAGGGGCUUGUGUGAUCUGCUCCCAGCCUUCCUGAACUUCAGCUCCUUUUUUUUUUUUUUUUUUUUUUUUUUUAACAUUUUUAAACGAUUUUUCAGAUACUUUUUAGACACCCACUGGCCAGCCAGGAGUGAUCGACACACUGUUACACCCUGAGCUUUUGCCUCUGCUGAGAACGCCCUUAUGUCUCCACACAUUUAAUCUGUGCAGGCCUCUAAAACCGAGUUUAAAAGCUGUCUUGAAGUUCCUCCUAAAGUAUUUUCUCCUCCCUCCGAACCCGACAUCAUUUGUCUUAUAUUUAUCAGUUCUGUUCUUAAGGAAUCAGUAAUCAUCUACAAUGACCUCUAAUUCCCCCUUGGUGGUAAACCCUUUGGGGAUCAGAUCUGGGUCUAAUUCAUCUUUAACUUCCCCAAGGGGACUCAGCAUCUGUGCCUCAAUAAGGAGCCAGAGAAAGACAAAGCGUUAUUACCCCAAACAGCAACAGUCCGUCUUCUACUUUAGUGCUCAAAGGGGGCCAAUUUUAUUCUUCUGAAAAGCAGGGCAUAGAUGUAUUUAAAAGCCCCCCCCACCCCGUGCCGCACCGCAGGGCAUGCGGGGGGCUAGUUCCCCAACCAGAGGUGGCACUGGUGCCCCCUGCAAGCGGAGGAACCCAGUCCCAACCUCUGGACCGCCGGGGAAUUCCCUUAAAGUUUCUUUAUAAUAUGUUAAUCCUACUGUAAAUUACUCUGUUUUGUCGCAUCCCCUUCUCAAAACAGGCCUUUGAGAAGUAGCAUCAGGUAUAAUUACCCAAUUAUGCAGGUGAGCAACAAUUGUGAGCCUUUUCAGUGUCAUGGAGGAUUAGAGUGGAGUUUUGUCGAAUCUAAACGCAGUACUUCCCCACUGUCUCAUUCAUGAGGAAAAUGUGCCUCCAGAGGACAUAGAGAAGGUUGCAAAUCAUGUAUUUGAUAUCCAC